GGAAGAAUUGUCAAAAAAUGACAUAAAAAAAUGGAGUUGGGAGGUGAUACAUUGCAGGUUGAGAAUGUCAACAAAUGAAUGUGGAAAUGGAGUACGUAAAAAAGACAUGCAAGGAAUUAUUCGGACAGCUAUUAAAUUCCAAGAAAUGAGUACACUUAGGAAACUGCUAUCAGAAAAGCUAAUGGCAGAGUUUGUGACUUGUAUUUUGAGCUGCAUUUUCUUUUCUUCCUUUUCACUAUUUUCC
rnacentral:lncRNA from 1 species